CAUGGGGAGUGACACAGUUGUAUCAGUUGAGUAUACAGAGCUGAUAUUGUGCGUUGUUCUCUUUAGUAUGUUACCUUUAGGGUAACUAUCCGAGAUCUGCGAACUUGUUCUACCUCAUGUUGAAAGUUGGCGGAUCAGUGCAGCUGAUUAAAAUCACGCGUACGUUUCGGCCGAGAGCCCAGUGCCUUAAUAAUUCUCACUGGAGUCCAGGUAACUACAGUAACUAGUUUGCAGGGUCUGUACGGUGUCACUGCAGGAAUGUGUUUGUGAAAACAGGAGGAGUUCCUCAGAGAUAGCUGGACAGAGUUUGAGAUUCGUCGGCAGUGCUUGGCGUCUCUGAUCAACAUGCGACGGUUCUGGAGCCUCUUCAGACUCCUCCCAAACUGUCAUUGCAUCCCAUUCGCUACAUGACCAGUGACAUCCUUUACCCAUUCCACCAGAACCAGGACUUCCUGUACCUGACAGGAAUUAUGGAGCCGGACAGUGCACUGGUGAUGUACGAGACCAGGCCGUGUUAUUCGUCCCACAGCGAAACCCAGAACAACUGCUUUAACGCGUCUAGAGUGUGUUCACAGCACAGAGGAGCUGGGUGAAAUGCUAAAAAGCUUGAAAGGCUGCUCAGCAGCUCUGCCCCCAUCAUUACUACCUGGGCAUGGAUGUUCAUGACACCCCUGAGCUGUCCCGUUCACAACCACUGCAACCUGGCAUGGUGAUCACAACCAGGAGAGCCAGUUGAAGACCACUUUUAUUCAAAAACAGUUAAUGUUGCAUGAUUAUACAUCAGCGAGGACGACAGUUCAUGUCCAGAGCGAAUCCAGGGUCAUGGGGUUCGGAUUGAGGAUGAUGUGCUGAUCCGAGAACACAGGGGACCCCUCAUCCUGUCUGCAAACACCCCCAAAACCAUCGCAGGUGGAAAGAGUGGAGGAGCUUGCGCACAUGGAGAGGACUGAAGGGGAAGAGCAGAACAUAGCAAGCCCUGCUAGAAUGAGUCCUUUUAACACCUCCGCUGGCAGUCUUUUCUAUAAUGGUGAACUCAGGACGGUUGGAUCUCACAGAACUUGCUCCACUUAAGUUUUAAAUCUGAAGGAUUUAGAGCUAGACAUGUCUGGACAGUGUGCAAUGUGUCCCUGAUAGCCAGUUCACUCCUACGCUAGCUAAAUGGUUGUGUUGGGUCGUGUUUUGUAUUUGACCUGUACAACUACAAUCUCAGAAAAAAGGUACAAAGGCUGUCACAUGGGCGUGCUACCCUUUCAAAAGGUACAUAUUUGUUCCUAAUUUAUCCACAAAUGGUGCAUAUAAGUACCUUAAAGGUAAAAACAACCUUAAAGGUACCACCCCAGUGACAGCUUUUGUACCUUUUUCGUCUGAAGGCUUAUGGGAGACUUUAAACGAGUUCAGAUGGAGAAACAAACAGGCUCUGAUGAUUAAGCAUGUUGAACAGGUUGUUUGUGAGACAAUUUAUCUGUUGCACUGUGAGAGGUUCGAUUUGUGUUUGAGUAUGUUUGUCGACUGAGCCUUUUACUGUAAUACAUGUUUUUUGUGUGUUUUUUUUUUUUUUUACUGUUGUCAAAAUAAACAUCUAAUUCUUGA